rnacentral:rRNA from 1 species
AGGACGAACGCUGGCGGCGUGCUUAACACAUGCAAGUCGAGCGGUAAGGCUCCUUCGGGGGUACACGAGCGGCGAACGGGUGAGUAACACGUGAGCAAUCUACCCUCAACUUUGGGAUAAGCCUCGGAAACGGGGUCUAAUACCGGAUAAUAUCGCGCUCCUCAUGGGGUGUGGUUGAAAGUUCUGGCGGUUGGGGAUGGGCUCGCGGCCUAUCAGCUUGUUGGUGGGGUAAUGGCCUACCAAGGCGUCGACGGGUAGCCGGCCUGAGAGGGCGACCGGCCACACUGGGGACUGAGACACGGCCCAGACUCCUACGGGAGGCAGCAGUGGGGAAUAUUGCGCAAUGGACGAAAGUCUGACGCAGCAACGCCGCGUGAGGGAUGACGGCCUUCGGGUUGUAAACCUCUUUCAGCAGGGACGAAGCGAGAGUGACGGUACCUGCAGAAGAAGGACCGGCCAACUACGUGCCAGCACGCCGC